AAGUCGUAACAAGGUUUCCGUAGGUGAACCUGCGGAAGGAUCAUUAAAGAAAAUUAGGAUUGGUGUUUUAAAGGCAACGCGAAUUACUUUUAACCCUUAUGUUUACCUCUUCUGUUUUCUUCUGUCUGGGUAUCUUAGCUGUAUUUUAGGUGCUGAAAAGUUCUAUUACAGCCGAUUUAUCUUGCUAGGAGGAACACACACAACAAUCUUAAGUUAUUAUAUUUAAUUAUUAAAAACUUUCAACAACGGAUCUCUUGGUUCUGGCAUCGAUGAAGAACGCAGCAAAAUGCGAUAAGUAAUGUGAAUUGCAGAAUUUAGUGAAUCAUCGAAUUUUUGAACGCACAUUGCGCCUUUUGGUAUUCCAAAAGGCAUGCCUGUUUGAGCGUCAUUACUCACUUCAAGCCUCAUACUUUUUAGGCUUGGUUUUGGCUAUAAAAAUGCGUCUUAAGGCAAGUUUUUUAGGCUUAAAAAUGACUCCAAGACAGCUGAAGUAGCAUUUUGGCGUACCAAGAUAAUACAAUAUAUUACCUGCCAUGCACACCAGUUUUGCUCUUGCUAGUAAUUAAACAUAAAUUUUGACCUCAGAUCAGGUGGGGGAUACCCGCUGAACUUAAGCAUAUCAAUAAGCGGAGGAAAAGAAACCAACAGGGAUUGCCUCAGUAACGGCGAGUGAAGCGGCAAUAGCUCAAAUUUGAAAUCUGGCUUCUGGGCCCGAGUGUAAUUUGUAGAGGAUGCUUUGGUUAAACUACUAGUUUAAGUUCUUUGGAACAGGACGUCCUAGAGGGUGAGAAUCCCGUAUGCGACUAGAUUAGUUCUUACCAUGUAAAGCUCCUUCAAUGAGUCAAGUUGUUUGGGAAUGCAGCUUAAAAUGGGUGGUAAAUUUCAUCUAAAGCUAAAUACUGGCCAGAGACCGAUAGCGCGCAAGUAGAGUGAUCGAAAGAUGAAAAGCACUUUGGAAAGAGAGUUAAACAGUACGUGAAAUUGUUGAAAGGGAAGCGCUUGCAAUCAGACUUGUCCAUUUGUGAUCUGCCGGCAUUUUUGCAGGUUUAUUCAUAGGUGAUCAGGCCAACAUUGAUUUGAGUGGUUGGAUAAAGGCCCUAAGAAUUCAGCUCCUCUUGGGGAGUGUUGCUUAGCUUAGGGUGCAAUGCAGCCUACUUGGAUCAAGGACCGCGCAUUUUUGCUAGGAUGUUGGCAUAAUGGUUGUAAGCGACC
rnacentral:rRNA from 1 species